CAUUUUUUCUUUUUUUUUUCAAAAAAAUACAAAUGUCAAAACAUUCAAUUCGAUAGCAGCAGCGUGUGUGGGUUAAAUUGUUGCAACAAUCUCUGUCGCCGGCGUAGUCCACUUGCUUGGAGAUUGGGCGCGUCCUAUACGGACUGGCACGCAUGUCCGAUCACGGUCAGAUGCUUUCCAGCUGGGAUGGCGGGAACGAUUUAGUUCGUGCUUUACCGAAGCAGCCUUACGGACACGAUGCUAUGCUGCUGCUGUUUAUCAGCGGAGGGACGCCGACGCAGACUUAGGAUACGCUCAUCAACCGUGAAGUUACUUCCUCCGGAUAUCAAAUCCUCUUAACUUUGAAUCGCACGAUGAUAGGCUUUGCGCUAAAAAGAGAUGAAAAAACGCUCAUCACUCAUGCGUCGAAAAUUCCAAUCCCGUAAUUGUACUCGAAGCAUACCCUCCCCUCAAAAUAACCCCCCAUCCAGCAGAUGGCCCUGGCUUAUCAUCAUCGAUCAAUUUCCGUGGAUGGCUCUCGGGCUUGAUUGGUUUCUAUAGAACAGGAAAUGCUGAUCAAUGCUUUCCAUUCUUCGGCUUUGUGUUUACAGAUGUGUGUAAAAUAUUUAAUUGAAAAAUACAAAUUC